rnacentral:lncRNA from 1 species
GUGAGAAGGCUGGAGGACAGUCACAAGGCAAGCCAAAGCAGCAAGCUCGUGGUGGCUCAACUCAGGAAGGCAGCAACUCAGCACCCGAAAAAGCACCAAGAAGGAAAGGGAAGUGUCGAAAUUGUGGGAUACCUGGUCAUUGGGCUAAGGAGUGCCGCAAGCCUCGUCGAGAAAGGCGUGAAGAGGUUCAUCUCGCGAAGGCCGAGGUUGAUCAGCCGUCCUUGCUCUUAGCCCGUUCAUGGAGAAUGCCGAAUACUCAUAUGUAGAGUGUGUACCUCAAUGAGGAACGUGUGCUCCCGGACAGCCGUGACAACAAUGUAUGGUACCUAGAUACUGGAGCCAGUAACCAUAUGACAUGGGUUUUGAAGGCUCAACUCAGGAAGGCAGCAACUCAGCACCUGAAAAAGCACCAAGAAGUAAAGGGAAGUGUCGAAAUUGUGGGAUAUCUGGUCAUUGGGCUAAGGAGUGCCGCAAGCCUCGUCGAGAAAGGCGUGAAGAGGUUCAUCUCGCGAAGGCCGAGGUUGAUCAGCCGUCCUUGCUCUUAGCCCGUUCAUGGAGAAUGCCGAAUACUCAUAUGUAGAGUGUGUACCUCAAUGAGGAACGUGUGCUCCCGGACAGCCGUGACAACAAUGUAUGGUACCUA